rnacentral:rRNA from 1 species
ACGGUUUCUGCGACGCAGCUAACGCAUUAAGUGCCCCGCCUGGGGAGUACGGUCGCAAGACUAAAACUCAAAGGAAUUGACGGGGGCCCGCACAAGCAGCGGAGCAUGCGGCUUAAUUCGACGCAACGCGAAGAACCUUACCAAGGCUUGACAUAUAGCGAAAAGUGGCAGAGAUGUCAUGUCCGCAAGGGCGCUAUACAGGUGGUGCAUGGUUGUCGUCAGCUCGUGUCGUGAGAUGUUGGGUUAAGUCCCGCAACGAGCGCAACCCUCGUUCUGUGUUGCCAGCAUUUAGUUGGGGACUCACAGGAGACUGCCGGGGUCAACUCGGAGGAAGGUGGGGAUGACGUCAAAUCAUCAUGCCCCUUAUGUCUUGGGCUGCACGCAUGCUACAAUGGCUGGUACAAAGGGCUGCGAAACCGUAAGGUGGAGCGAAUCCCAAAAAGCCAGUCUCAGUUCGGAUUGGGGUCUGCAACUCGACCCCAUGAAGUCGGAGUUGCUAGUAAUCGCAGAUCAGCAACGCUGCGGUGAAUACGUUCCCGGGCCUUGUACACACCGCCCGUCACAUCACGAAAGUCGGUAACACCCAAAG